rnacentral:rRNA from 1 species
CCUACGGGAGGCAGCAGUGGGGGAUAUUGCACAAUGGGGGAAACCCUGAUGCAGCGACGCCGCGGGGGGGAAGACGGUCCUCUGGAUUGUAAACCACUGUCCCCAGGGACGAAGAUGACGGGACCGGGGGAGGAAGCGCCGGCUAACUACGUGCCAGCAGCCGCGGUAAUAGGUAGGGAGCGAGCGUUGUCCGGAAUUACUGGGUGGAAAGGGAGCGUAGGCGGGGAGGCAAGUGGGGGGUCAAAACUACCGGCUCAACUGGGAGUCGCACUCAAAACGGCAGCUCUUGAGUGAAGUAGAGGCCGGCGUAAUUCCUCGUGUCGCGGUGCAAUGCGUAGAUCUUAGGAGG